rnacentral:rRNA from 1 species
UACGAAGGGGGCUAGCGUUGUUCGGAAUUACUGGGCGUAAAGCGCGCGCAGGCGGCCAUUCAAGUCAGGGGUGAAAGCCCAAAGCUCAACUCUGGAACUGCCCUUGAAACUGUAUGGCUUGAGUAUGAGAGAGGUGAGUGGAAUUCCCAGUGUAGAGGUGAAAUUCGUAGAUAUUGGGAAGAACACCGGUGGCGAAGGCGGCGACCUGGUCCGACACUGACGCUGAGGCGCGAAAGCGUGGGGAGCAAACAGG